rnacentral:rRNA from 1 species
CACCGAGAUUCAACAUGGAACGAGUGGCGGACGGGUGAGUAACACGUGGGUAACCUGCCCUUAAGUGGGGGAUAACAUUUGGAAACAGAUGCUAAUACCGCAUAGAUCCAAGAACCGCAUGGUUCUUGGCUGAAAGAUGGCGUAAGCUAUCGCUUUUGGAUGGACCCGCGGCGUAUUAGCUAGUUGGUGAGGUAAUGGCUCACCAAGGCGAUGAUACGUAGCCGAACUGAGAGGUUGAUCGGCCACAUUGGGACUGAGACACGGCCCAAACUCCUACGGGAGGCAGCAGUAGGGAAUCUUCCACAAUGGACGCAAGUCUGAUGGAGCAACGCCGCGUGAGUGAAGAAGGCUUUCGGGUCGUAAAACUCUGUUGUUGGAGAAGAAUGGUCGGCAGAGUAACUGUUGCCGGCGUGACGGUAUCCAACCAGAAAGCCACGGCUAACUACGUGCCAGCAGCCGCGGUAAUACGUAGGUGGCAAGCGUUAUCCGGAUUUAUUGGGCGUAAAGCGAGCGCAGGC